GUGAAGGCUUCCUGGCUUUUAUUGAAGAAAGCACAGUUAGUGCUUUUGAGGACAACAGGAGGAGAGGGAAAGACUAAAAGAUAAAAGAGUGGAAUACUACUCAGCAACAGAAAAGAAAUACUAAACAACAAAAUGGGCCACGCAGGAAGAAAUCUCUUUUCUUCACAUGGAUUUGAUUAUGUCUGGGCCUGAAAUAGCAACCACCAUCUGUCAACAAAGGGAGAAGACAAACUAAGGACAGAGCCUCCAUGCUGAGAAUGACACAACAAAAGGUGGGAAAAUACUGGACCCCCGAUGAUGCUGGUGGGCCACUAAAUCAAUCAGUCCUGGAGACACCUACCUAUAGACUGCUUUGAUGUGAGAGGACAUUCUUAUUUAAUUAAUAAUUGGAAUUGGAGUUUUCUGUUACUUGUAUCCAAAAGGGUCUAGGCAAUACUCUCUGUAACCUUGGUCAAGUCUUUUAUCCUUACCAACUGUCAAUUUUCUCCUCUGUAAAUGGAGUUAGCAACGCUAAUUCAUGAAAUGGUUGCAGGAUCAAAUGCAAAAUAUCUAAAACAUUGCCUGGCACAUAGUAGGUGCUUGAUAGUAAUUUUAUAUUUACCUACUUGGCAGCUUUGUUUUCCGGAUGUACUCCUUUAAGUACUUUCUCUUAUUAAUCAUUUCUAAACCCAAUUUAUCUUAAAGAAUUUAACUUAAUUAAAUAAUCUUUCAUGGAAAAAUGAUCAAAACCAGACUUAAGACCAUGACUGGGAAGCUUAUAGUUAUUUUUAAUUUAACACAGUGCAUUCAGGGCUUGCUGAUGUGUGUAGACUGUUUCCAUCAAAUGUGAGAAAAGGAGCUCGACACAGUCUGACAAUCUCUGGCAAUGCAUCUGGUCCUGAAAACUAGACCCAUUCCCCAGAGAAGGACUGGGGCAGGCAGGACUUGGCAGGAGGUGUAGAAAGAGACCCAGACAGGAAGAAAACCAUCCUGGAGACCUGGAGACAUUGUUUAGCAUCAGCAAACUCCAUCAGCAGACACAUAAGAUAGUGAUGUAUAAAACAGUGUUUCCCAACUGGGGCAAUAAAGACAGCUGCAGAGGGAGAGAGCGUUACCACCUCACAAUAAUUUUCUUCUCAAGAAUGGUUCUCUCUCCUUCUCAUGGUCCAAGGGAGAAAUUCAGUUUGUCCCCCAACUCCCACCCACCCAAGAAAAUAUUUCCUGGUGUUUGGAAAUGUCUGCGUUUUACCCACCAGUUGGAGGUCUGGCCAGCCUCAGAGCUGAGAACCGAGGCUGUGAUGAGAUGGGGGUUUGCAGGCUCGUGGGGCUGCCACAGCAGAAGGGAGCUGUGUGUGCUUCAGCUGUGGCUGCCUCUCCCA
rnacentral:lncRNA from 10 species